rnacentral:rRNA from 1 species
AGUUCGAUUAUGGCUCAGAUUGAACGCGCUGUAAGGAUGCUUUACAUGCGAGGUGGUCGAGCAGCUGGCUUGCGGGCGCCUGGUUAUGGUGUGACGAAAUUAAACGAACAGUUGAUAUCCUCGGGUGAUGCCUAAUAGCCGGGGAUAUGUGCGAAAGCGUAGCCUAAUACCGCAUACGCCCUUCGGGGAAGCGAGACCUUCCGGGCCUCGCACUAUUAGAAGCAGCCGAUAUCGGAUUGGCUAGUUGGUGGGGUAACGGCUCACCAAGGCGACAAAUCAUCAGCUGGUUUGAGAGGACGACCAGCCACACUGGGACUGAGACGGCCCAGAUACGGGGAGGCCAGCGGUGGGAAUUUGGACAAAUGAGGAAGCCUGAACCAGCAUGACCAUCCGCGUGUGCAGUGGAAGAGCCUUACAAGGUUUGUAAAGCCGCACCGGCGGAAAGAAACGUUUGGAUAAUACGUGCAACUGACGGUACAGAUAAGCACCGGCUAACUACGUGCCAGCAGCCGCGAUGCAUCGGGGACGGUGAACAAUCAGAUUACUUCAGGCGUAAAAGCCGUGCAGGCGGUUCGAAGAAGAUGUGAAGAUAUUAGACUUAACUUUGGAACUGCAUUUUUAACUACCGAGCUGGUGUGUCAGAGGGAGGGUGAAUUCCGCGUGUAGCAGUGAUGCGUAGAUAUGCGGAGGAACACCGAUGGCGAAGGCGGCCUCCUGGGAUAACACUGACGCUCGCUGUGCAGAAAGCCGUGGAGCGAAGCGGAUUGAAUAUGCCUGGUAGUCCUUCCUAAACGAUGUCAACCUGACUGUUACAGGGCCUUCUGGGCCUUGGUAGCGCAGCUAACGUGAAGUUGACCGCCUGGGAGUACGGUCGCAAGAUUAAAACUCAAAGGAAUUGACGGGGACCCACUGAAGCGGUGGAUGAUGUGGAUUGAACUGAGUCAACGCGAAACCUUACCUACCCUUGACAUGUCUGGAAUCCCGAAGAGAUUUGGGAGUGCUCGCAAAGAGAACCGGAACACGGGUGCUGCAUGGCUGUCGUCAGCUCGUGUCGUGAGAUGUUGGAUUGGUGUUCCAUAACGACAACCCUUGUCAUUAGUUGCUACGAAAGGCGCUCUAAUGAGACUGCCGGUAGCUCGACUGGAGGAAGGUGGGGAUGACGUCAAGUCUCAUGGCCCUUAUGGGUAGGGCUUCACACGUCAUACAAUGGUCGGGACAGAGGGUCGCCCAACCCGCGAGGAGCCAAUCCCAGAAACCCGAUCGUAGUCCGGAUCGCAGUCUGCAACUCUUCUCGACUGCGUGAGACAGAUCGCUAGUAAUCGCGGAUCAGCAUGUCGCCCGGUGACCGCGUUCCCGGGUCUUGUACACACCGCCCGUCACACCAUGGGAGUGGGUUUUGCAGAAGUAGUUAGCCUAACCGUAAGGAGGGCGAUUACCACGGUAGGAUUCAUAUUCGGUGGAAGUCGUAACAAGGUAG